rnacentral:lncRNA from 1 species
GAAGAAGCAUUUUUGCGUUCAUAUCUCCAGCGCUCGGGCACCAUGGAGGUGACGGCCUUGCAGGUGCUUUUUAUUAUAUGCGAACAUGCCCACGCCUGCGUGGAUGAGAUCAAGAACCGCCUAGCGAGGGACUUUCAAAUAAUGGCCGUGGAAUCCGUGGACGCUUGUGACGUCGCCAUGGUGUUCUGCAUUAACGUCUCCCGGCUUGGAACCGACAUUGAGAGUAUACUCCAGAGAGUUCCAGGCAAGAAACCGACCAUACUGGUGGUGCUCCACCACACGUUUGACCAUGACUACGUGAUUCCAAGCAGUCGGGCCUUCGUGCAAGGCAGAGACAUCAUCGUCAUCGACACGCUGUUCUACGAGGACCAGGGCCUGCUGAAAUGCGACAGGAACAACAUAGCGCUGGAAACCAUGUCAGCCCACCUCCACAGAUAUGGACACAAGCUCCACAGCCCAUAUGAGAGCCACGUUGAUGGACCUUUUGGGACAUCUGCAUCUAUGAAAGAAUGGCUGCGUACCCCAUAUGCCCGUGUUCUGCUCGUCGUUAUUGUACUGCUUCUUGUGGUUGGAGUUGCCGUCAUGGCGGUGCAAGUUGUGGCUGGUUGCGUACUUCUUGCGGUUGCAGUUGCUGGGGGGGCGUUUUUCGUCUUCAAAAGUCCAUUGGGCAAGAGGGCAAACAAAAUAGGCUGACUUUAAAACUUUAAAACGUUAAAACCAACGGAAGCAUUUACAGAAUUUUCUAUUAGAUCUUAAUGUACCGCAAAGAAAAGCAUCCAAUAAUUGCACUUGGCGUCACCGCAAACGCAACACCUAGCGUUUAUAUAUCUAUCUUUUAAAUGUAUUUCAAAAUGAAGGAACUGCGAGUAAGCAAUUAAGCUCAGCAUGCUUGAAACAGUAGGGUUGUGUUGAUCCACGACCUCUGACCUAAAUAAAAAACGUCACAAGCCACCGCUGUGUUUUCCU